rnacentral:rRNA from 1 species
GAUGAACGCUAGCGGGAGGCUUAACACAUGCAAGUCGAAGGGCAGCACGUCUUCGGAUGGUGGCGACUGGCGAACGGGUGCGUAACGCGUAUGCAACCUACCCUCAACAGGGGAAUAGCCCAGAGAAAUUUGGAUUAAUACCCCAUAGUAUUACAGAUUCGCAUGUUUCUGUGAUUAAAGUUCCAACGGUUGAGGAUGGGCAUGCGUGACAUUAGCUUGUUGGUGAGGUAACGGCUCACCAAGGCAACGAUGUCUAGGGGUUCUGAGAGGAUGAUCCCCCANACUGGUACUGAGACACGGACCAGACUCCUACGGGAGCAGCAGUGAGGAAUAUUGGACAAUGGAGGCAACUCUGAUCCAGCCAUCCCGCGUGCAGGAAGAAGGCCCUAUGGGUUGUAAACUGCUUUUAUACAGGAAUAAACCCCUNUACGUGUAGAGGGCUGAAGGUACUGUAAGAAUAAGCACCGGCUAACUCCGUGCCAGCAGCCG